rnacentral:rRNA from 1 species
UACGAAGGAUCCAAGCGUUGUCCGGAUUUACUGGGUUUAAAGGGUGCGUAGGCGGACUUAUAAGUCAGUGGUGAAAGCCUUCAGCUUAACUGAAGAACUGCCAUUGAAACUGUAAGUCUCGAGUUCGGUUGAGGUCAUUGGAAUGUAACAUGUAGCGGUGAAAUGCAUAGAUAUGUUACAGAACACCGAUUGCGAAGGCAGAUGACUAAACCGAAACUGACGCUGAGGCACGAAAGCGUGGGUAGCAAACAGG